GACGAACGCUGGCGGCGUGCUUAACACAUGCAAGUCGAGCGGAAAGGCCCUUCGGGGUACUCGAGCGGCGAACGGGUGAGUAACACGUGAGUAACCUGCCCCAGACUUUGGGAUAACCCUCGGAAACGGGGGCUAAUACCGGAUACGACACAGCUUCGCAUGGGGUCUGUGUGGAAAGUUUUUCGGUUUGGGAUGGGCUCGCGGCCUAUCAGCUUGUUGGUGGGGUGAUGGCCUACCAAGGCGACGACGGGUAGCCGGCCUGAGAGGGCGACCGGCCACACUGGGACUGAGACACGGCCCAGACUCCUACGGGAGGCAGCAGUGGGGAAUAUUGCACAAUGGGCGGAAGCCUGAUGCAGCGACGCCGCGUGAGGGAUGACGGCCUUCGGGUUGUAAACCCCUUUCAGCAGGGACGAGGCGUAAGUGACGGUACCUGCAGAAGAAGCGCCGGCCAACUACGUG
rnacentral:rRNA from 1 species